rnacentral:rRNA from 1 species
CACGCUGUAAACGAUGAAAACUAAGUAUUGCCGCGAGGCAGUGCUGUAGCUAACGCAUUAAGUUUUCCGCCUGGGGAGUACGCUCGCAAGAGUGAAACUUAAAGGAAUUGACGGGGGCCCGCACAAGCAGUGGAGCAUGUGGUUUAAUUCGAAGCAACGCGAAGAACCUUACCUGGACUUGACAUCCCCUGAAUGACUCGUAAUGGAGGAAGCCCUACGGGGCAGGGAGACAGGUGG